AUGGUUUCAUUAGAAUCGGGUUCUGUGGUGAAUCCCUCCGUGUCUCUGCUCCCUCCGUCUCCUCUGCAGCUGUCUGAAGGAUCGGCCUCGCUGCUCUGCCUGCUGUCUGGCUACUCUCCACAGGGGGCGCUGGUGAGCUGGACAGUGGACGGCUCCCAGGUGAACACCGGGGUUCUGACCAGUGCGGAAGAAGAGAAGAGUGGCCGUUACAGCCGCAGCAGCACCCUGACCCUCAGCAAAGACCUCUGGGAAAAGGGGGAGGAGUUCAGCUGUAAGGUCUCCCAUAACAACGCCAAUCAUCCAGUCACGUUCAGAAAGAGUCAGUGUGAAGGCUAG